CACGUAGGGGGCAAGCGUUGUCCGGAUUUAUUGGGCGUAAAGAGCUCGUAGGCGGUUUCGUAAGUCGGGUGUGAAAACUCUAGGCUCAACCUAGAGACGCCACCCGAUACUGCGAUGACUAGAGUCCGGUAGGGGAGUGUGGAAUUCCUGGUGUAGCGGUGAAAUGCGCAGAUAUCAGGAGGAACACCGGUGGCGAAGGCGGGUCUCUGGGCCGAUACUGACGCUGAGGAGCGAAAGCGUGGGGAGCGAACAGG
rnacentral:rRNA from 1 species